rnacentral:rRNA from 1 species
GUGCCAGCAGCCGCGGUAAGACGUAGGGGGCCAGCGUUGCUCGGAAUUACUGGGCGUAAAGGGUCCGUAGGCGGUGCGGCAAGUCGGGGGUGAAAUCUCUGGGCUUAACUCAGAGGCUGCCUCCGAAACUGCCGUGCUCGAGUGCGGGAGAGGCGAGCGGAAUUGCAGGUGUAGCGGUGAAAUGCGUAGAUAUCUGCAGGAACACCCGUGGCGAAGGCGGCUCGCUGGACCGUGACUGACGCUGAGGGACGAAAGCUAGGGGAGCAAACAGGAUUAGAAACCCGUGUAGUCC